UACCUGGUUGAUCCUGCCAGUAGUCAUAUGCUUGUCUCAAAGAUUAAGCCAUGCAAGUCUAAGUACGAGCUCUCGUACAGUGAAACUGCGAAUGGCUCAUUAAAUCAGUUAUGGUUCAUUUGAUCGUACAGUUUACUUGGAUAACUGUGGUAAUUCUAGAGCUAAUACAUGCGAGAAGCGCCGACCUCGCGGGAGGCGUGCAUUUAUCAGACCAAAAACCGGCCGCGUCUUCGGGCGCGUUCGCCUUGGUGACUCUGGAUAACUUUGCGGAUCGCACGGUCUAGCACCGGCGACGGAUCAUUCAAGUGUCUGCCCUAUCAACUUUCGUCGGUACGGUAUUUGCCUACCGAGGUUCUUACGGGUGACGGGGAAUCAGGGUUCGAUUCCGGAGAGGGAGCCUGAGAAA
rnacentral:ncRNA from 1 species